CUCCCUCGCUGAGAGCCGCCGCCGCCGCCGCCCCCGCCCCCCCUUUUCCCUCGCUGAGAGCCUGAUAGCCGCCUCCUCUCGGUGUCGUCGCCUCUUCAACGACCGGCCGGCGGCUCUUCGCGUCCUUCUCCCCCGGACGGCAACCUCCGCGGCUCCGGUCACCGACUCACAACCUCCCCGGACGGAAUAAUGGAAAGUGGUGGAAAGUGGUGUUGCUUCAUGGUUGUGAGUUAUUUCCAGUGUGCAAUCAAGAAGCUGGUCAAAAAGCUUGCUAAGAAGUACCAUGCUUUCCUAGCAUCAGAGGCGAUCAUGUAUAUUCACAUUUGUUCUAUGUGAAGCAGAUAGUAUUCCAUAUGUAAAUUUGGAUGAUUUGACUUGUAUUCCUUGUCUUUGUAAAGAUUAAAUGCUUUUUGAAUAUUGCUGGUAUUAGAUGAAUGAACAGAUAACUUGUAAAGGUUAAUUCCUUAUGUUCAGCUUUUUGUAAAGAUUGAAUGCCUUCUUAAUGUCAAUGAUGCUGGGACAAGAUUGAAUGA